rnacentral:rRNA from 1 species
AAGAGACAGCAGCAGCCGCGGGAAUACGAAGGGGGCAAGCGUUGUCCGGAAUUAUUGGGCGUAAAGCGCGCGCAGGCGGUUUUUUAAGUCUGGUGUCUAAGUGCGGGGCUCAACCCCGUGACGCACUGGAAACUGGGAGACUUGAGUGCAGAAGAGGAGAGCGGAAUUCCACGUGUAGCGGUGAAAUGCGUAGAGAUGUGGAGGAACACCAGUGGCGAAGGCGGCUCUCUGGACUGUAACUGACGCUGAGGCGCGAAAGCGUGGGGAGCAAACAGGAUUAGAGACCCCGGUAGUCCCUGUCUCUUAUACA